UGGCUCAGAACGAACGCUGGCGGCGCGCUUAACACAUGCAAGUCGAGCGAGAAAGUGGAGCAAUCCAUGAGUACAGCGGCGUACGGGUGAGUAACACGUGGGUAAUCUACCUUUUAGUGGGGAAUAACCCUGGGAAACCGGGGCUAAUACCGCAUAAUCCUGAGAAGGGAAAGCAGCAAUGCGCUGAAAGAGGAGCCCGCGGCCGAUUAGCUAGUUGGUGAGGUAAAGGCUCACCAAGGCGGUGAGCGGUAGCCGGCCUGAGAGGGCACACGGCCACACUGGCACUGAAACUCGGGCCAGACGAAUACGGGAGGCAGCAGUGGG
rnacentral:rRNA from 1 species